rnacentral:rRNA from 1 species
GCUUAACUUAAGCCCGACCAAUCCCCCAAACAGAUAUUACCCAUAAAACAAACCAUUUGACAAAAAAAGUAUUUGAGAAAGAAACUUAAAUCCCGGAGCAACCUUACCGUAAGGGACAAUUGAAAGAGAAAUGAAACACAUUAAGCAAAAAAAAGCAAAGAUUAGCCCUUGUACCUCUCGCAUCAUGGUUUAGCAAGAAGCAUCAGACAAAAAGACUUUUAGCCUGACUACCCGAAACUGCGUGAGCUACUUCCGGGCAAUUAAACGAAUCAACUC